rnacentral:rRNA from 1 species
GGGUGUGAUCAUACCAGCACUAAUGCACCGGAUCCCAUCAGAACUCCUCAGUUAAGCACGCCUGGGCAGAGGUGUGAGAUUUACUUCCU